AUCCGGCUGACGAAUCCAGAAAUAGGACGAAACGCGCGUCCUGGAU
rnacentral:hammerhead_ribozyme from 1 species